rnacentral:rRNA from 1 species
GACGUAGGGCGCGAGCGUUGUCCGGAUUUAUUGGGCGUAAAGAGCUCGUAGGUGGUUCGGUAAGUCGGAUGUGAAAUCUCCAGGCUCAACCUGGAGGGGUCAUUCGAUACUGCCGUGACUAGAGUUCGGUAGGGGAGUGUGGAAUUCCUGGUGGAGCGGUGAAAUGCGCAGAUAUCAGGAGGAACACCGAUUGCGAAGGCAGCUCGCUGGGACGUCACUGACGCUGAGACGCGAAAGCGUGGGGAGCAAACAGG